rnacentral:rRNA from 1 species
ACGCUCGACACCUACGGGAGCAGCAGUCGGGAAUAUUGCGCAAUGGAGGAAACUCUGACGCAGUGACGCCGCGUAUAGGAAGAAGGUUUUCGGAUUGUAAACUAUUGUCGUUAGGGAAGAAAAAGACAGUACCUAAGGAGGAAGCUCCGGCUAACUACGUGCCAUCAGCCGCGGUAAUCUGAGCGGGCUGGCAAGGC